rnacentral:lncRNA from 1 species
UGUAAAUUUAUUCCUGUUAACUAAAAGGCAACAGAAAACUAAUGGCAUUUUAUCUUUCUUUGUCUUUAUAGAGGGGAUAAUGUGGGAUUUCUAAGAAUGAAGACUGGAAAAAUCCUAGUAGAUCAAUCAGUGGAGCAGAGUAUUGUGAACUCCAGUGCAAAGACCCACAAGCUGCAAAUCUAUAUCAAAAAGAAGACUGUGCACAGAAUCAUGUCAGCAAAUACGUGGAAGGGGAAGAUAACUAUUUGGAUAGCCACAAGACUAAGAGCAGGAUCAGGCAGAUGUCCUUCCUCUUUUCUUCAGUUGUUGGCAGCUAUGUGAAGGAUUUCCUUACUGGAUUUUUAAUAUUUAUUAAAGAAAUUGUG